rnacentral:RNase_P_RNA from 1 species
UGGGUUGGUGAGGCGGCCGCGUCGCGGCACGUAAGUGUUCGCGCCGAGGAACGUCCGGGCUCCACAGGGGAGAAUGGUGGGUAACACCCACCCGGGGUAACCCGCGAGAAAGUGCAACAGAGAGUAGACCGCCUGCCGCAGCUUGCUGCGGUCGGUAAGGCUGAAAGGGUGGUGUAAGAGACCACCGGCGCACGUGGUAACACGAGCGGCCAGGUAAACCUCGUUCGGAGCAAGACCAGACAGAGGAUGAUGACGCGCCCCGCCGAGUCCUCGGGUAGGUUGCUAGAGAGUGCCGGUAACGGUAAUCCGAGAUAGAUGACCGCCACCCUGAGCGUUAAACCUUGGGGGACAGAACCCGGCGUAUGAUCUGGCCCAUUCC